UAUCCAACCUGCCGUCUACUCUUGGACAGCCUUCUGAAAGAAAGAUUAAUACAAGAUGGCAUCAUGAGUCCGCAUGUUCACAUGAUUAAAGGUAUUCCGGUAGACGAUGGGGAUGCGUUCCAUUAGAUAGUAGGCGGGGUAACGGCCCACCUAGUCUUCGAUGGAUAGGGGUUCUGAGAGGAAGGUCCCCCACAUUGGAACUGAGACACGGUCCAAACUCCUACGGGAGGCAGCAUG
rnacentral:rRNA from 1 species